rnacentral:lncRNA from 1 species
UUGCAUCAUAGUAAGGUAAAUAGACAUCAGUCUCUGAAUGGCACUGCGCGUUGUUGUUUUCUGUUGGUGAGGUGAGUUUCUGUUCUUUCUCUCUCGCAAAUUCAGUUGAGUUGAUUAACACUCGUUUGUUAAUGUAGUUUGUUUGUUUUUGUUUAGGGUUUAAAAUUAAGGAUUUAGGGUUAGGGUUUAAGAUUUAGGGUUUAAGAAGUAGCCAUAAGAAGGCUCUAUUAUAAGAGUCAACAGCAGGGGCUUAUUUCAAUGGCCACCUGACUGCCGCUUAGAGCCAAAACGGAAAAAACCAGUUGAAGAUCCUUGAAAUCAAACCCCCUUUUUUUCAAGACACAAUCUCUGGUCAAAUUAUUAUUAUGUUUGUUAUAAUUAUGUAGUUACUUGUUGGCACUUUAGUCAGACACGGGUGUUUGUUGCUUUUUUCUCAAAACAAACAACCUUUUGCAUGGUGCCUAUAUAUAUUCCGGCUAUUGAUUCACGAUUGGAGGAACCUUUCUCUUUUGUGGUUCUUUCAAAUUUCAAGCAGCUAUAUGUUGUUGUUUUGCAGGAACCAAAACAACAAUAGUUACUUUUACUUUUUCAACUUUUCACCAUGAUUUUGGGUGAUGGAAUUGAUUCUUGUAGCUAUCCAAACACACUAAUAUUAGUAACUUCUGGCAAAUGUUACAUGUGACUUACAAAGUUGAGUUUUGGGUUAUUUUUGGGGAGCAAUAGAGUUUACCCUGCUAACUCUAUAUUUAAAUGUUUCUCUAUUUAG